rnacentral:lncRNA from 1 species
UGAGGCUUUGCCUGGAAGGAGGACAUUUGCUCAGACAAAUCUUUCCAGGUUGUAGCAGUAACUCCCUGGGAUAAAAUGUGUGGGGCCAGCUCACAGGUUUCUGGGAACUUGCCCAGGAUUUUCAGGGUCAAUUGGUGCUGCAGAGAAAAAUGAUGGAUUAUCCAGGGAGGUGUGAAUAGUGUCAAGAAACAUGAGCAGCUCUGCUGUGCUAUAUGAGGAGGACACUAAAACAAGGAGAUUAUAAUCCCUGCCUUAGAGAUGUCUCCAGCACAGAUCAUCAAAUAGAGGAAUGCUCCAUGUCUGGUGAAACAUACUCUCAAGAAGGAAAGGCCCUUCCGUCUAGAGAUUUGGUGGAAAACUUUCCGAAGUCUGACAUUUUGGUGUUAUGUCCUGAAAGGAUCAGAAAGAACAAAGACUCUAAUAUUGGAGUGAUGAUACAGGGAGUGGAGUUGAGAAGGCAAAACGGAAAAGUACCCC